rnacentral:rRNA from 1 species
CUACGGGUCGCUGCAGUGGGGAAUAUUGGACAAUGGACCAAAAGUCUGAUCCAGCAAUUCUGUGUGCACGAUGACGGUCUUCGGAUUGUAAAGUGCUUUCAGUUGGGAAGAAAAAAAUGACGGUACCAACAGAAGAAGCGACGGCUAAAUACGUGCCAGCAGCCGCGGUAAUACGUAUGUCGCAAGCGUUAUCCGGAUUUAUUGGGCGUAAAGCGCGUCUAGGUGGUUUGAUAAGUCUGAUGUGAAAAUGCGGGGCUCAACUCCGUAUUGCGUUGGAAACUGUCAAACUAGAGUAUCGGAGAGGUGGGCGGAACUACAAGUGUAGAGGUGAAAUUCGUAGAUAUUUGUAGGAAUGCCGAUAGAGAAGUCAGCUCACUGGACGAAUACUGACACUGAAGCGCGAAAGCAUGGGGAGCAAACAGGAUUAGAUACCCUUGUAGUC